rnacentral:precursor_RNA from 15 species
GGGAAGCCCUUGAAUUGAGAUGCUCUGGGGACGAGUAUAUUUUGGUCACAUGGUUACCUACAUGUGACCUUUGUAUACCCGUCCCUAGUGUAUACUUUUUUAUACAAAUCCAGU